rnacentral:rRNA from 1 species
UCCUACGGGGCGCAGCAGUGGGGAAUAUUGCACAAUGGGCGCAAGCCUGAUGCAGCCAUGCCGCGUGUAUGAAGAAGGCCUUCGGGUUGUAAAGUACUUUCAGCGAGGAGGAAGGCGUUAAGGUUAAUAACCUUGGCGAUUGACGUUACUCGCAGAAGAAGCACCGGCUAACUCCGUGCCAGCAGCCGCGGUAAUACGGAGGGUGCAAGCGUUAAUCGGAAUUACUGGGCGUAAAGCGCACGCAGGCGGUCUGUCAAGUCGGAUGUGAAAUCCCCGGGCUCAACCUGGGAACUGCAUUCGAAACUGGCAGGCUAGAGUCUUGUAGAGGGGGGUAGAAUUCCAGGUGUAGCGGUGAAAUGCGUAGAGAUCUGGAGGAAUACCGGUGGCGAAGGCGGCCCCCUGGACAAAGACUGACGCUCAGGUGCGAAAGCGUGGGGAGCAAACAGGAUUAGAUACCCGUGUAGUCCA